GUUGGGACUCCUUCUCUUUGUUGUAAGGAAGCAUCUUUCUCUUUAGAGCAAGCCAGAAAAGCCUUGUCAGAGUACUCUAUUCAGGAGCUCAAACCCCGAUGUGCAAAGGAGCUUCUGAGCCUGUCCAGGCCAAACUCAAUGCCAAGCCCUUCAGACUGGUAUCACCACUUGUUGUGUGUUUCGAGUGUGAAGAUCUGUAGCGGAAUCAGUAUGGAAGGAUGGACUCCUAAUGGGAUUAUUGGUCAGCAGGUGACUUGAACCUGGGAUCGAGCUGUGUAAAGAAGCAAUGGGUCAUUGAGAACAAUUACCCUGACUGGAAGUGUACCUUUGCUUCUCUUCAGCACUGAGCAUCAAAACAUUUGCUGUGCCUAAAAUCAUGGAAACUAAGAAUGGGGCUGGAAUCAAGGCCUUACAAUGUGCCUGUGACUUUCUGAAAGAUCUCUUAGCUUCAAACCACAGAUAACUUCCCUGCUAUCCAUGAGCAUAUAGAUUUAGACGUACACAGCACCCCAUUUGCAGAGAAAUAACCCCCACAACACAGAGGGAUGGGUCUUCGAGUCAUGCAGCCAAAGCGAGGUGCUGUGAGACUGAAGUGGGCAACUUCACCAAAGGAGCAGAUUUCUUUUAUGAAAACACUCUGUCACGUGUUCCACACUGUAACAUAACACAAGAUGUUACCUAUCCUAUUGGACCAUGUUAACUUACUGCAGUAUUGCAUUGUGAUGCAUUAGAAAGGUACACAUCCGCAUUACAGUGCAUUAUGUACGGUAUGUACAAGGUAACAAGAGAUACAGGAGAGAAAUCGAAGAAAGGAGUUUGAGGUGAAUGAGAAAAAACUCCAUAGGUCAUUCCAUAAUUGCCCAUUAGGAAAGAGGUUUCCUGAAUAACAAGGACUGAGUAGCAGCAAGAAAAUAAUUACUGUGAAUUACUGAACACAGCUUUUUCUGUGUGUCAGUCUGAGACAGGGUUGAGACAGCUUUACAUUGCCACUGUCUUAAAGCAGCUACAGAAGAAAGCUUCUUUUUGAGGCAGCUCCCAACACACCCAACCCCAGCUCCCAAGACAUGUCUGGGAGUCUGCAAUGGUUCUGAAUAUCAUUCCUUUGUCAUUGCAUGUCGAUGCUGUAGCCAGAAAGGCAGACUUGGCGCUGUCUGCCUGGGCAGGUGGAGUUGUUAAGAACAUUUAUGUGCAUUUGAUGAGAAACUUCUGGUGCUCAAGGAGGCUCCCAGCUCCCCAGUGAGCUGUGGUGCUCCCACAAGGCUCCUCAUGCCACUCUGGCCUGAUGGGGAGUGUGGGGCAGCAUAGUUCCAGUGUGACUGGCCCAGAGAGUGAUUUAAAAUACUUUUCCAUGCAGAUUUUGCACAGCAGCAAUGCCACCACCAUAAAUAUUCAUAGGAAGCAAAUGCAAGAGGAAUUUGUGCAGAAUGAACACAUUUUAAAAGGGUCAUAUAAAAUAUUCAGAGGAAGUACGUCCAGCAUGAGCUAGAGGCCCAAAUCUGGGAGUUACUGACACAUUCCCUCAGCACUAAGCACCUGAUGGCAGCUCCUUGGAUUCCUGAGACAGGCACAGGCCUUGAGCAGAACAAGUACCCAUGGCUCAGUGCUUUGUGGAUCACAGCCCCACCAGAUUGCUUGGACCAGAGAAUCUCUGCUGGAAGCUCUUAAAGCACUCUCUCACUUUUGUGGUACUGCCACAGGCCAAAGGCGGAUGUUCAAUGAGACAAACAUGGAGCUCCCCUGAUUAAAUAGAACAAGUGGAAGAAUAUGAAUACAGUUUUGCUAUUAAAACAAGCAUUUUAUUCCACGUUUAAGUAAUUUUUCAUUAAAAACACAGCCCAAGUAGUAGA